rnacentral:lncRNA from 1 species
AAAACUCUGUAAGCUACCACAUUGACAUUAGAAAACCCCACUUUUACAAACCUCAAGCCAUUUUCCAUACUUUCAUUCUCUCUCUAGAAAAAUCCAACUCCCAUCCUCUGCAUUCUCUCUAACCUCAAGCUUCAUUGCUCCAGAAAAUCUUCAAUUGGAUGGCACCUCAGUGAUUGCGACUCAAAGAGCUCCAUUUUCAACCGAUUAGUUUUCCCUUUCUCCGCCGGUAAGUCCUCUUCCAUGUCCCACGUAAUUUUAGGGCUGUAAUCAUGUAACAAAACCCUGUUGCAUGUAGUUGAUUGUGCCUUCCUCCAAAUUCUGACUUAAAUUAGGUUCUAAAAGUUAUUUCUUGUUUCCAAUUUAAGGUCUGUAGGUUUUUCUAGAAAUUCCGUGAAGUGCAAGCUUGAACCGGAUUUAGUUGGCCUAUAUGGUGAAAUUCCCAGGUAAGGGAAGCUAGGUUAUGAUUAUGUGUUGUGUGAUGUAUAUGCAUGAAUUGUGGCAUGUGGAUGUUGUAAAAUAAUGCAUGUGUAAGUUGUAUAUUGUGGAGUAUUGUGUUUGAGCUUAAAUUAGGUGAUUUUGUGUAUGAGAGUAUGAAAUCCUUGUUUUCUAAAAUGUAUAAAGUUGUGAAUGGAUGCAUAUGAAGUGAAUUGUAUAAGGUAGGGUACUGGAUUGAGUAUUAGAAGAGAUGAAAAUUGUUAUACAUGUUAAUAGAGUUCAAGUUAGGUGGAUUAUGUUGUUUUUAGGUCGUCUUAAAGGAAGUGAGAGGGUGAUUUCGAGAAUUAUGGGUUAAAGGUCGAAUUAGGCUCUUAGAAUGGUUUACUUAAGUCAAAAGUGACUUGUUAGGAGUGUUAGAGUGAUCAAAUAUACUCUCCAAAUGGUAAAUUUACUUUUGAGUCCAUAGGUUGAUGAAAAUGAGGUUUUGAAUUAGAAAUCCUUGCAUAAUCAUUGGAGAAUGAUGUUAGGAAGACUUAAAGUUACUUAGACAAGUUUAAUUUCAUCUAUACUUCGAAUUAGAACUGUUAGAAGUUCACCAAAAGGCCUAAAACGAAACUUAGGGGUGUGAGUUCUUCCAAAUCUGCAGA